GGGUACGGAGCGGCAAACGGGUGAGUAACACAUUGGUAACCUACCUCCAAGUCGAGGAUAGCCCAGAGAAAUCUGGAUUAAUACUCGAUAGUCAUGACGGACUUAAGUCCGUUAUGUAAAGGUUUUUCGCUCGAAGAGGGGCCUAGGUCCUAUCAGCUAGUUGGUGAGGCAAAAGCUCACCAAGGCUAUGACGGGUAGAGGGCGUGAGAGCGUGACCCUCCUCACUGGGACUGAGACACUGCCCAGACUCC
rnacentral:rRNA from 1 species